UACGUAGGGUGCGAGCGUUGUCCGGAAUUAUUGGGCGUAAAGGGCUCGUAGGCGGUUUGUCGCGUCGGGAGUGAAAACCAGGUGCUUAACACCUGGCUUGCUUUCGAUACGGGCAGACUAGAGGUAUGCAGGGGAGAACGGAAUUCCUGGUGUAGCGGUGAAAUGCGCAGAUAUCAGGAGGAACACCGGUGGCGAAGGCGGGUCUCUGGGCAGUAACUGACGCUGAGGAGCGAAAGCGUGGGGAGCGAACAGG
rnacentral:rRNA from 1 species